rnacentral:rRNA from 1 species
GACGUAGGGCGCGAGCGUUGUCCGGAUUUAUUGGGCGUAAAGAGCUCGUAGGCGGCUCAUUGCGUCAACCAGUGAAAUCCUGCUGCUCAACUGGCAGGUUCUGCGGUUGAUACGGGUGGGCUGGAGUUCGGUAGGGGAGACUGGAAUUCCUGGUGUAGCGGUGAAAUGCGCAGAUAGUCAGGAGGAACACCGGUUGGCGAAGGCGGGUCUCUGGGCCGAUGACUGACGCUGGAGGAGCGAAAAGCGUGGGGAGCAACAGG